rnacentral:rRNA from 1 species
UACGGAGGGUGCAAGCGUUAAUCGGAAUUACUGGGCGUAAAGCGCGUGUAGGUGGCGACGUAAGUCGGAUGUGAAAGCCCUCGGCUUAACCGAGGAAGUGCAUUCGAUACUGCGUGGCUUGAGUACUGGAGGGGAUGGCGGAAUUCCCGGUGUAGAGGUGAAAUUCGUAGAUAUCGGGAGGAACACCUGUGGCGAAGGCGGCCAUCUGGACAGUCACUGACACUGAGACGCGAAAGCGUGGGUAGCAAACAGG